rnacentral:rRNA from 1 species
GAUCAUGGCUCAGGAUGAACGCUGGCGGCGUGCUUAACACAUGCAAGUCGGAGCGAAGCGGCUGAAUUGAUUCUUCGGUAUGAUUUUCAGUUGACUGAGCGGCGGACGGGUGAGUAACGCGUGGGUGACCUGCCCCGAUACCGGGGGGAUAACAAGCUGGAAACGGCUGCUAAUACCGCAUAAGCGCACAGAAGCUAGCUAUGGCUUUGUGUGGAAAAACUCCGGUGGUAUGGGUA